GCUGGGUGUGGUGGCUCACGCCUGUAAUCCCAGCACUUUAGGAGGCCGAGGCAGGUGGGUCACCUGAGGUCAGGAGUUCGAGACCAGCCUGACCAACAUGGUGAAACCCUGUCUCUA
rnacentral:SRP_RNA from 1 species